rnacentral:rRNA from 1 species
GGAGGGGGCAAGCGUUAUUCGGAAUUACUGGGCGUAAAGAGCGUGUAGGCGGUUAUAUUAGUUAGGCGUGAAAUCCUAUGGGCUUAACCAUAGGCCUGCGUCUAAUACUGUAUGGCUAGAGUACUGGAGAGGGAAGUGGAAUUCCUAGUGUAGCGGUGAAAUGCGUAGAUAUUAGGAGGAACACCGGUGGCGAAGGCGGCUUCCUGACAGAUACUGACGCUGAGACGCGAAAGCCAGGGGAGCAAACGGGAUUAGAUACCCCGGUAGUCCUGGCUGUAAACGAUGGGCACUAGGUGUAGGAGGUAUCAAUCCCUUCUGUGCCGGAGCUAACGCAGUAAGUGCCCCGCCUGGGGAGUACGGUCGCAAAGGCUG